GCGAGAUUCACAUUCUUAAUUAAAUUUUCCAUAUUUUGAAAAGCAUCAAUAAAAUUUUGUUCUGUCCAUUCUGCAAAGUUGCAAUGUGCCCACUCAUUUCUGAUGUUUGACCGAACUUUUCUUGCAUAAGCAGCAGCUCUUGCAAAUGGUGCAGCUUCACCUAUUACUGAUAAAACUGCAGAUGUAUCCAUUGUUACGUCAAAGCCUGUGAACUUGGACAUGAAUGGUUGAACAAACAACUUUGCCAAAGACAAUGGAUCCUUAACUGCAUAAUCAAAUGCACGAGGUGAUCCAAUGGCAUCAUUGUUGUUGAUACUUUUAUAGUUGAGGUUCAAAGUUGACGGGGGUAACUUUUUCUGGUGUCCACCAAAAACUUGUUUGUCGAUUUCGGUCGGUGAUUGACAUAAAACUUGAUGCCACUUUGG